GGAAGUAAAAGCCGUAACAAGGUUUCCGUAGGUGAACCUGCGGAAGGAUCAUUAUUGUAUAACCGAGGUGCGAGGGCUGUCGCUGACCCGAAAGGUCGUGCACGCCCGAGUGCCCUCACACACAUCCAUCUCACCCCUAUGUGCACCACCGCGUGGGUCCCCCUUUGGCUUGUUCGGAGGGGGGCUUACGUUUUCACACAAACUUUGUAUGCAGUGUAGAAUGUAUUUUUUGUUUUUGCGAUCACGCAAUCAAUACAACUUUCAACAACGGAUCUCUUGGCUCUC
rnacentral:misc_RNA from 1 species